GUUUUUUUAAUGGUUAAUCGCACAGCUAUUUAUAAAUUUCAAAUUUUCAAUCCCAAGAAACUCAAGUUUUCGCUAGUACUUUGUCUAUGAGGCUAUGACAAUUGCAAGUUCUGCAUGCGUUUAUACAUGGUGCCUUUCGAGCUUCAAAUUGUAAAACAUAACACAUUGGUCAUGAGUAACGGACGACUGAUAUUUCCCUUAAAGACCCC
rnacentral:lncRNA from 1 species